AUUGAACGCUGGCGGCAGGCCUAACACAUGCAAGUCGAGCGGAUGAAGGGAGCUUGCUCCUGGAUUCAGCGGCGGACGGGUGAGUAAUGCCUAGGAAUCUGCCUGGAAGUGGGGGAUAACGUCCGGAAACGGGCGCUAAUACCGCAUACGUCCUGAGGGAGAAAGUGGGGGAUCUUCGGACCUCACGCUAUCAGAUGAGCCUAGGUCGGAUUAGCUAGUUGGUGGGGUAAAGGCCUACCAAGGCGACGAUCCGUAACUGGUCUGAGAGGAUGAUCAGUCACACUGGAACUGAGACACGGUCCAGACUCCUACGGGAGGCAGCAGUGGGGAAUAUUGGACAAUGGGCGAAAGCCUGAUCCAGCCAUGCCGCGUGUGUGAAGAAGGUCUUCGGAUUGUAAAGCACUUUAAGUUGGGAGGAAGGGCAGUAAGUUAAUACCUUGCUGUUUUGACGUUACCAACAGAAUAAGCACCGGCUAACUUCGUG
rnacentral:rRNA from 1 species